rnacentral:rRNA from 1 species
GCAGUGGGUACGGGCACACUUGAGUGCUGUAGGGGAGACUGGAAUUCCUGGUGUAGCGGUGAAAUGCGCAGAUAUCAGGAGGAACACCGGUGGCGAAGGCGGGUCUCUGGGCAGUUACUGACGCUGAGGAGCGAAAGCAUGGGGAGCGAACAGGAUUAGAUACCCUGGUAGUCCAUGCCGUAAACGUUGGGCGCUAGGUGUGGGGUCCAUUCCACGGAUUCCGUGCCGCAGCUAACGCAUUAAGCGCCCCGCCUGGGGAGUACGGCCGCAAGGCUAAAACUCAAAGGAAUUGACGGGGGCCCGCACAAGCGGCGGAGCAUGCGGAUUAAUUCGAUGCAACGCGAAGAACCUUACCAAGGCUUGACAUGCGCGGUGGAAUCCCAGAGAUGGGGUGUCAUUUAGUUGGUCGCGUACAGGUGGUGCAUGGUUGUCGUCAGCUCGUGUCGUGAGAUGUUGGGUUAAGUCCCGCAACGAGCGCAACCCUCGUUCCAUGUUGCCAGCACGUAGUGGUGGGGACUCAUGGGAGACUGCCGGGGUCAACUCGGAGGAAGGUGGGGAUGACGUCAAAUCAUCAUGCCCCUUAUGUCUUGGGCUUCACGCAUGCUACAAUGGCCAGUACAGAGGGCUGCGAUACCGUGAGGUGGAGCGAAUCCCAAAAAGCUGGUCUCAGUUCGGAUCGGGGUCUGCAACUCGACCCCGUGAAGUCGGAGUCGCUAGUAAUCGCAGAUCAGCAACGCUGCGGUGAAUACGUUCCCGGGCCUUGUACACACCGCCCGUCACGUCAUGAAAGUCGGUAACACCCGAAGCCGGUGGCCCAACCCGUAUGGGGG